GUUUGAUCAUGGCUCAGGACGAACGCUGGCGGCAGGCUUAACACAUGCAAGUCGCACGAGAACGUUCUGGCUUUGCCAGAACAAGUACAGUGGCGGACGGGUGCGUAACGCGUAGAUAACCUGCCCUCAGGCGCGGGACAAUCACGGGAAACCGUGGCUAAUACCGCACGUCGUCUGGAGCCCGCAUGGGCACCAGAUGAAACCCCGCUUUGCGGGGGCCUUGGGAUGGGUCUGCGUCGGAUUAGCUCGUUGGUGAGGUAACGGCUCACCAAGGUGACGAUCCGUAGCUGGUCUGAGAGGACGAUCAGUCACACUGGGACUGAGACACGGCCCAGACUCCUACGGGAGGCAGCAGUGGGGAAUCUUGCACAAUGGGGGAAACCCUGAUGCAGCCAUGCCGCGUGGAGGAAGACACCCCUACGGGGCGUAAACUCCUUUUCUGAGAGAAGAAACCUCUGUAUAUUCAGGGCGUGACGGUAUCUCAGGAAUAAGCACCGGCUAACUCCGUGCCAGCAGCCGCGGUAAUACGGAGGGUGCAAGCGUUGUCCGGAAUCACUGGGCGUAAAGGGUGCGCAGGCGGGGCAGCAAGUCGGAGGUGAAAGCCCAUGGCUCAACCAUGGAAGUGCCUUCGAAACUGUUGCUCUUGAGUCCCGGAGAGGUUGUCGGAAUUCGUGGUGUAGCGGUGAAAUGCGUAGAUAUCACGAGGAACACCAGAGGCGAAAGCGGACAACUGGACGGGUACUGACGCUCAUGCACGAAAGCGUGGGGAGCGAACAGGAU
rnacentral:rRNA from 1 species